rnacentral:rRNA from 1 species
GCGUAAAGCGCGCGCAGGCGGUCUUUUAAGUCUGAUGUGAAAGCCCACGGCUCAACCGUGGAGAGUCAUUGGAAACUGGGAGACUUGAGUACAGAAGAGGAGAGUGGAAUUCCACGUGUAGCGGUGAAAUGCGUAGAGAUGUGGAGGAACACCAGUGGCGAAGGCGACUCUCUGGUCUGUAACUGACGCUGAGGCGCGAAAGCGUGGGGAGCAAACAGGAUUAGAUACCCUGGUAGUCCACGCCGUAAACGAUGAGUGCUAGGUGUUAGGGGUUUCGAUGCCCUUAGUGCCGAAGUUAACACAUUAAGCACUCCGCCUGGGGAGUACGACCGCAAGGUUGAAACUCAAAGGAAUUGACGGGGGCCCGCACAAGCAGUGGAGCAUGUGGUUUAAUUCGAAGCAACGCGAAGAACCUUACCAGGUCUUGACAUCCUUUGACCACCCUAGAGAUAGGGCUUUCCCCUUCGGGGGACAAAGUGACAGGUGGUGCAUGGUUGUCGUCAGCUCGUGUCGUGAGAUGUUGGGUUAAGUCCCGCAACGAGCGCAACCCUUGAUCUUAGUUGCCAGCAUUAAGUUGGGCACUCUAAGGUGACUGCCGGUGACAAACCGGAGGAAGGUGGGGAUGACGUCAAAUCAUCAUGCCCCUUAUGACCUGGGCUACACACGUGCUACAAUGGAUGGUACAAAGGGAAGCGAAACCGCGAGGUGAAGCAAAUCCCAUAAAGCCAUUCUCAGUUCGGAUUGUAGGCUGCAACUCGCCUACAUGAAGCCGGAAUUGCUAGUAAU